AGUGAACGCUGGCGGUAGGCCUAACACAUGCAAGUCGAACGGCAGCACAGGAGAGCUUGCUCUCUGGGUGGCGAGUGGCGGACGGGUGAGGAAUACAUCGGAAUCUACUCUGUCGUGGGGGAUAACGUAGGGAAACUUACGCUAAUACCGCAUACGACCUACGGGUGAAAGCAGGGGACCUUCGGGCCUUGCGCGAUUGAAUGAGCCGAUGUCGGAUUAGCUAGUUGGCGGGGUAAAGGCCCACCAAGGCGACGAUCCGUAGCUGGUCUGAGAGGAUGAGCAGCCACACUGGAACCGAGACACGGUCCAGACUCCUACGGGAGGCAGCAGUGGGGAAUAUUGGACAAUGGGCGCAAGCCUGAUCCAGCCAUACCGCGUGGGUGAAGAAGGCCUUCGGGUUGUAAAGCUCUUUUGUUGGGAAAGAAAUCCAGCUGGCUAAUACCCGGUUGGGGUGACGGUACCCAAAGAAUAAGCACCGGCUAACUUCGUGCCAGCCGCCGCCGUAA
rnacentral:rRNA from 1 species